UCAAACCAUGUGCGGUGAUAUUCAGCCA
rnacentral:sRNA from 1 species